GUUAUAUGAUCAAGCGUUGAAGCGCAUAUGGUGGAUGCCUAGGCGAUAAGAGGCGAUGAAGGACGUUGUAGCAUGCGAUAAGCCUCGGGGAGCUUGCAAACUAGCUAUGAUCCGGGGAUUUCCGAAUGGGGAAACCCACCCGCUUGCGGGUAUCUUGCACUGAAUACAUAGGUGCAAGAGGCGAACCCGGGGAACUGAAACAUCUAAGUACCCGGAGGAAAAGAAAUCAACCGAGAUUCCGUCAGUAGCGGCGAGCGAACGCGGAGGAGCCCAAACCGGGCCGCCCCGUUUCGGGGGGCCCGGGGUUGCAGGGCCCCCCUGUGGGGGCGCGCGGCGCCUAGCCGAAGGGCCUGGAAAGGCCGGCCGGAGGGAGUGACAGCCUCGUAGGCGAAAGGCGGCGCGCGGCCCGGGGGGGAUCCCUGAGUACCGCGGGGCACGGGAAACCCAGCGGGAAGCUGCCGGGACCAUCCGGCAAGGCUAAACACUCGCUCCUGACCGAUAGUGGACCAGUACCGCGAGGGAAAGGUGAAAAGCACCCCUGCUAGGGGAGUGAAACAGUGCCUGAAACCGCGCGCCUACAAGCAGCGGGAGGGGCGCCCCCUGGGGCGGCCUGACCGCGUGCCUUUUGCAUAAUGAGCUGGCUAGUCGGCCCCGGCGGCGAGGUUAAGGAAGACCGAGCCGCAGCGAAAGCGAGUCCGAAGGGGGCGCGCAGUCGCCGGGGCCGGACGCGAAGCGGGAUGAGCUGCCCUUGGCCAGGGCGAAGCCCGUGUGACAGCGGGUGGAGGCCCGAACCGGUGUCGGUUGAAAACGGCUCGGAUGAGCCGAGGGCAGGGGUGAAAGGCCAAUCAAAUUCCGUGAUAGCUCGUUCUCUCCGAAAUAGCUUUAGGGCUAGCCUCGCGCGACGCGCGGCGGCGGUAGGCCACUGGCUGGACUAGGGGGCUUCGCAGCCUGCCGCAUCCAACCAAAGCGCGAAUGCCGCCGACGCAGGGCGCGGGAGUCAGACCGCGGGGGCUAAGCUCCGCGGUCGAGAGGAAAACAGUCCAGACCGCCGGCUAAGGCCCCCAAGCAGCGCUGAGUGGGUAAGGAAGUCAGUCCGCGACGACAGCCAGGAGGUUGGCUUAGAAGCAGCCACCCUUUCAAGAAAGCGUAACAGCUCACUGGUCGAGCGGGCCGGCGCCGAAAAUGUAACGGGGCUCAAGCGCAGCGCCGAAGCCGCGGGUCCCGGCCCCCCCUCGGGGGGCGCCGGGGCGGUAGGAGAGCGUUCGCGCCGCCGCCGAAGGCGGCCCGGGAGGGCCGCUGGAGGGGCGCGAAGCGACUCUGCCAGCAUUAGUAGCGAGAAGCCGGGCGAGAACCCCGGCCGCCGCAAGUCUAAGGGUUCCCGGGCAAGGUCGUUCCGCCCGGGGUCAGUCGGGUCCUAAGGCGAGGCCGCGAGGCGUAGCCGAUGGGCGCGCGGUUAACAUUCCGCGACCGCCAUGCCGUCGCUAUCACGACGGGGUGACGCAGGAAGCGAAGCGGGAGGGGCGAUGGAAGGCCCCUUUGGCCGUCUCGAGGCCGCCGGGCAGGCAAAUCCGCCCGGCGCCAGGCCGAGGGCGGACGCGAGGCCGCGAGGCCGCAAAGCCGCGUAGCUACACUGCCGGGAAAAACCUCUAAGGAGAGGGCAUGGCGCCCGUACCGCAAACGGACACACGUAGACGGGAAGAGCAUUCUCAGGCGCUCGGGUGAUUGGUCGUCCAGGAACUCGGCAAACUGGCCCCGUAACCUCGGGAGAAGGGGCGCCCCCGCGAGGGGGCCGCAGGGAAACGGCUCAGGCGACUGUUUAGCAAAAACACAGGUCUCUGCAAAGUCGAACACGACGUAUAGGGGCUGACGCCUGCCCGGUGCCGGAAGGUUAACAGGAGCGGUGAGCUUCGGCGAGGCCGCGAAUCGAAGCCCCGGUGAACGGCGGCCGUAACUAUAACGGUCCUAAGGUAGCGAAAUUCCUUGUCGGGUAAGUUCCGACCUGCACGAAUGGCGUAACGAUCUGAGCGCUGUCUCGACGACCAGCCCGGCGAAGUUGUGGUACCGGUGAAGACGCCGGUUACCCGCCAAAGGACGGAAAGACCCCGUGCACCUUGACUACAGCUUGGCAGCGAUGCAUGGCGUGGCGCGCGCAGCAUAGGUGGGAGGCUUGGAAGCCGCCCCCCCGGGGGCGGCGGAGCCGCCGUUGAGAUACCACCCUCGCGAUGUCGUGCAUCUAACCCGGGGCCGUGAAGCCGGCCCGGGGACACUGCCUGGCGGGUAGUUUGACUGGGGCGGUCGCCUCCCAGAAAGCAACGGAGGCGCGCGAAGCUCGGCUCAGGCUGAUCGGAAACCAGCCGCGGAGCGCAAUGGUACAAGCCGGGCUGACUGCGAGACCGACAGGUCGGGCAGGUGCGAAAGCAGGCCAUAGUGAUCCGGCGGUUCCGCAUGGAAGGGCCGUCGCUCAACGGAUAAAAGGUACGCCGGGGAUAACAGGCUGAUCCGGGCCAAGAGUUCACAUCGACGCCCGGGUUUGGCACCUCGAUGUCGGCUCAUCGCAUCCUGGGGGUGGAGCCGCUCCCAAGGGUUGGGCUGUUCGCCCAUUAAAGCGGUACGCGAGCUGGGUUCAGAACGUCGCGAGACAGUUCGGUCCUUAUCCUUGGCGGGCGCAGGAAACUUGAGGGAGGCUGCCUCCAGUACGAGAGGACCGAGGCGGCCGGACCGCUUGUGGGCCAGCUGUCACGCCAGUGGCACCGCUGGGUAGCGAAGUCCGGAGGGGAGAAGCGCUGAAAGCAUCUAAGCGCGAAGCCCCGCCCGAGACCAGGUUUCCCCGCGAGGGCACUCGCAGACGACGAGUUGGAUAGGACGGGUGUGCAAGCGCGGCGACGCGCUCAGCUGACCGUUACUAAUCGCCCCCCAGGCUUGCCCGC
rnacentral:rRNA from 1 species